rnacentral:rRNA from 1 species
AUUGAACGCUGGCGGCAGGCCUAACACAUGCAAGUCGAACGAGUGGCGGACGGGUGCGUAAUGUCUGGGACACUGCCCGCUGGUGGGGGAUAACUUUUGGAACGGGUAGCUAAUACCGCAUACCAUCGGAUGUGCCCAGAUGGGAUUAGCUAGUAGGUGGGGUAACGGCUCACCUAGGCGACGAUCCCUAGCUGGUCCGAGAGUAUGACCCGCCACACUGGAACUGAGACACGGUCCAGACUCCUACGGGAGGCAGCAGUGGGGAAUAUUGCACAAUGGGCGCAAGCCUGAUGCAGCCAUGCCGCGUGUAUGAAGAAGGCCUUCGGGUUGUAAAGUACUUUCAGCGAGGAUGCGUUACUCGCAGAAGAAGCACCGGCUAACUCCGUGCCAGCAGCCGCGGUAAUUC